UACCCUAGUUGGGAGCUAACACCUACCACGUUUCUUAGGGAGUAUAGAGAGUAUCGAACAACAUUCUCCGAGGGUUCAUUUUUUUUCCUUCUCUUUUUCUUUUUAGGGUUCAUUCACUUGUGUUACUGCCAACUGAAUUUUAUUCAUAGUGUGACUGAGAUUAAAAUGUUACAGAGAACUGUAAAAUAAAGAGGGCAAAUUGAUGUGAGGUUCAUGGUUAUCGUCUUGUUCUUUAUAUCUCCCGUAAUUGUAGAUUUCUUCUUCCAAUGCCAACAGUAGAAACAACAUAUAUGGGAAUUUCUAAAUAGAUAUUCAAAUUGGGUUUACCAGCACAAGAUGGAAGUGGGGGGCUCUUGCUGUAGAUUCGUUCUUAAAAAUUGAAAAAUCAGUUAAGAGAACUGAUUUUACUGCAGUGGGUGGAGCUGUUCAGGAUGGAAUUGAAUGGAGAUGGCGAAGAGUGGAGUUUGAAUUUGCAGAAAUGAUGACCUAAUUAGUUUUUCUUCUUAUAGAAAUUUGGGGAUUUUAUUGUAUAUCAAUUCUUUUGCUAAUUCAUAAAUUGGGUGAUUGUAAUUUUAAAUGAAUGGAUGAUUUAUGAUUGUCAAUAUAUUACCACCAGUGAUUUCUAGACCGGAAA